AGAUACCCUCCUACCCUCUAUUCCUUGUUUCAUGAUUAAAGAACCAAUUUUCUGGCUCAAAAUCUAUUUCAAAAAAUUUUUCAAGAUGACGUUAUUUAUGUUUACUUUAUUCGUGGGAAUAUUGCUUCAUGCUGCUAAAGGAACUGCAAAUUCAAAAAUUUUGCAAGAUGAAGAUUAUGCAGGAGAAGAUGCAAGUGACUCUCACCACCACCAAAACGAACCGCAAUAUUAUGAAAAAUAUCUGCAGUUGAAAGCAAGAAACCUUAAUCAUUACAUAUCCAGUGACAAUAGUGCACGUGCAGACAGAAAGAUGUCACUACCAGACAAUGAUAAAAAUUAUAAAAGUUUUGGAAAUCAACCACAACGUCUUGAUUAUCAAUAUCAGCCCCGAAAUGAAAAGAAAAAUUGGGACUUGAAGCUGAAAAAACCAAUCGCUUAAUGUCUCUCAAAGUCAGGGAAAUAUUCUCGAUGAGUAUGAACAACAUGUUGAAGAACAAAGCCUAAUGAUGAAACAACUUUCAAAGCAAAAGACAAUAUUAUCAAUAAUUUUAAAAAACAAAAUUAAAAUCGAAAUUUUUGUUCUUUUUUCUGUAUUUUCGAAUAUUUAUUUUAUCUAUUAUUGAAAAUAGUAUUUCGAAUUCACGAAGACUAUCAAAUUAAUUUCGAAUUAAGUAAGCCUAUUUUUUAACAUGCAGACCUUGAAUAUAAUAAAUUAAAAUUAUACUGUUAGGAUUUUCAUUCAAAAUUACAAUAAAACAAUUGACAGCUGUCUGUUCAUCCAAUUUACCAUAAAGUUUAUGGUAAAGAACAUUUUUAUGAUUUUACGGUUUUAAAACCGUUUACCGUAUGGUAAAAAAACCACGAACAACAAUACAGUUCUUUUUCCCAAUUUUCAACAAUCUUGGUUUUAAACUUGUAAAAAAGAAAUUUAAUUAGACAUUGAAGUUAGGUUGUUGCUGAGUUGCGUUUUAUCAAAUUAAUCAUGGGAUUUAAUUAGUUUAUAUGUGUUUUUUUCACCUAUCGCAAGAGAUAGGAAACAUUAGACUAUUUUUUGUUAAGCUGCUGUAUGUAGCUGCCAUCUAUGCGUAAAUGCGAGUAUCAUAUUCUAAUUAUCGAGGGUUACUAAUCAGUGAUUGUAGAGCACUGGAAACUUUUCAUGUGCUGAAAAUAAAGAAGGAAAUAUUGUGGUGUCAACGCUUGGACUCACACUUCCUUUCAUUUGGGCUCGCCCUAUGAGGUGCAUUUACCAGGAUGAUGAUCAUUUUUGCUGCUCACAGAACCAAACGAAGAUAGUCUUUUCUCUCCAUUGCGAGUUCACGGUUUCCUUUCAAAAAAAAAUUAUUAACUUUUAUUAGUAGAUUCCAUCAAAUGAGAUAGUCAUGAGAUAGAUAGAUUUGCCUUCUCGGCUAUAAUAUGUACUUAUCUACAAAGAUCUAGGUGGUUUCAUUUGGUGGACCUGGUUUUUGCUAUAAAAUUCUGGUUGUUCAACCAAAUUAGGUGAAAGCAUUUAAUAAACGGUUUUUCUCACACUUAACAGUUUGAAUACUAUUUUAUUUGGGGUUAUUUGACUGUUUUGUUUGAAUAAAUAACAAUUAAAUAAAUUGCUAUUUAAUCCGUUUUUGAGAUAAAUUUCGGACUGUGUAGUAAUAAACGUGCUUAUGCCAAAAUUUUAAAAUGUAUAACAAUUUCUUAAAAAAUUUUUAAAACUUAAGUAAUUAAAAAAUUUAUAAUGCUCUUACAGUAAUUAUUGGCUCAUAAUACUGUAGCUAUUUUUUCAUAACGAAGUUUUUAAGUGUCAGAAUUUCAUUUAAGAGAGAACACUUUUUUUUAAAAAGAAAAUAAUAAUUUCUUACAUUGAUAUUGAAAAUGUAUCAUUAUUAUAAUAAAUUUUAUUUCGCGUGUUAAAAUGAAAGCGGCAGGCAGAUAUAUAAACGACAUCGAACUUAUAGGAGAGAUUAUGAACACUAAAAAUUUCUAUACGAAAUCAUCUUUAAGAAAUUUUAAGGAAACAAAAAACUUAAUUUCAUAUAUUUUGUUAAAAUACACAUCAGUGAUUAUUUUUUAGGACUAUAAAAUUAGAUUCACAGAAGCAAGAAUUAUAGAAAGCAUCUACUUUAAUCUUUCAAACUCUAAAUAGCAUAAACAAAAAAAAGUUUUUUUUUUCAAUCCUAAAUUUGAUAACUGAAUACUCUCCUAAUUUUGAUAAACUCCCCUAAUUUUGACAAACUACAAUUUUCAUCCAUGGUGAUCAUAUAUUUAACAGUUUGCAUAUCUCUUAUGUAGUGAUAGCUUCUUGAAUUUUCAUUCAAAAUGUACAAAAUUUUAACAGAUUAUAUGCUACUGCUGUUGAUUUUACUUCUUAUAUUUCUGCUUUUCUAGCUCAGUACUUUAGUAUCCACCAUUUUUAGGAAAACCAGGAAAGAUACUUAAGAAAAUGCAUAUGCACAAAAAAUUACUCAGCUAUUUAAAAUUUGAACCGCCUUUAAGGCAUCUAUUUAAUUCCACAACUGUGCUAGCUAUUACUUAUGUAAAUCAAAAUCAACUCCGGUGAGAUAAGAUAAAUGUUUAUACGAUUCCGAAGGUGCUAAUUAGCAACUACGAGCUGACGACAAAUCUAGUAAGUAAUGGCUAUGAAAACUUUAAGUAUUAAAUAUAUACAUAUUUACAACAAAUAGUUUACACUUUAGUAAGCUGCAAUUAACAAUCUAUUGCUACCACGUCUGGCUAUCUAGAGAAUUGAUGUUAAACUAACUAAUUAAAGCGUUUCUAACCAGAGGGCGCUAUUGUAAUAAUAGAAUCUAAGGAAAAUUCAAGUAAGACCGAACAGUUGUUAAAAUUUUAAUGAAAUAUAAUGAUAAUUUAAAAAUAUAACAUGACAUCAGAUUUGAUAUCUCUUUUAAGUUUUCAUCUACAAUGAUCUAAGUUUUAACA